ensembl:snoRNA U3 Small nucleolar RNA U3
AAGACUAUUCUUUCAGGGACCAUUUCUAUAGUUUGUUACUGGAGGUUUCUCUGACUAUGCAGAGUACCAGAAACCAGGAGGAGGUAGAACAUUCCUUCUUGAGCAUGAAGCUGGCUCUUGAUGUUGCUUUGCUGCUAAUGUCACUUGCCAUUGUUGAAUGGUUUUGUCUUCCUUUAAAGAGCAAGAGGGGGAGCUGCAGUCUGAGUGGU